GAUGAACGCUAGCUACAGGCUUAACACAUGCAAGUAGAGGGACCGGCGCACGGGCGAGUAACACGUAUCUAACCUGCCCUUUACUCGGGGAUAGCCUUCCGUAAGAAAGAUUAAUACAUGCUGUAAAGGUUGCGGAUGCGUUCCAUUAGGUUGUAGGUGAGGCAACGGCACACCAAGCCUUAGAUGGAUAGGGGUUCUGAGAGGAAGGUCCCUCUGAGUGGAACUGGGACACGGUCCAAACUCCUACGGGCGGCAGCAGUGAGUAAUAUUGGUCAAUGGGCGUUAGCCUGAACCAGCCAAGUAGCGUGAAGGAUGUAGGCUUAUGGGUCGUAAACUUCUUUUAUAUAAGAAUAUGUAUUAAAUGAAUAAGGAUCGGCUAACUCCGUGCCAGCAGCCGCGGUAAUUC
rnacentral:rRNA from 1 species